rnacentral:rRNA from 1 species
GGGUUGUGAGGUUAAGCGACUAAGCGUACACGGUGGAUGCCCUGGCAGUCAGAGGCGAUGAAGGGCGUGCUAAUCUGCGAUAAGCGCCGGUAAGGUGAUAUGAACCGUUAUAACCGGCGAUACCCGAAUGGGGAAACCCAGUGUGAUUCGUCACACUAUCAUUAACUGAAUCCAUAGGUUAAUGAGGCGAACCGGGGGAACUGAAACAUCUAAGUACCCCGAGGAAAAGAAAUCAACCGAGAUUCCCCCAGUAGCGGCGAGCGAACGGGGAGGAGCCCAGAGCCUGAAUCAGCAUGUGUGUUAGUGGAAGCGUCUGGAAAGGCGCGCGAUACAGGGUGACAGCCCCGUACACAAAAGCGCAUGUGCUGUGAGCUCGAUGAGUAGGGCGGGACACGUGGUAUCCUGUCUGAAUAUGGGGGGACCAUCCUCCAAGGCUAAAUACUCCUGACUGACCGAUAGUGAACCAGUACCGUGAGGGAAAGGCGAAAAGAACCCCGGCGAGGGGAGUGAAAAAGAACCUGAAACCGUGUACGUACAAGCAGUGGGAGCCCCACCACUAAGCCAGUGGUGAACUCCACAUCCGCAUCCUUUGCUGAGGAUACGGUUAACGGAGCGAAAGCGACGUUCAACCGCAAAACAAGCAGAGGGGGCUUAGUGGUGGGGUGACUGCGUACCUUUUGUAUAAUGGGUCAGCGACUUAUAUUCUGUAGCAAGGUUAACCGAAUAGGGGAGCCGGAGGGAAACCGAGUCUUAAUUGGGCGUUAAGUUGCAGGGUAUAGACCCGAAACCCGGUGAUCUAGCCAUGGGCAGGUUGAAGGUUGGGUAACACUAACUGGAGGACCGAACCGACUAAUGUUGAAAAAUUAGCGGAUGACCUGUGGCUGGGGGUGAAAGGCCAAUCAAACCGGGAGAUAGCUGGUUCUCCCCGAAAGCUAUUUAGGUAGCGCCUCGUGAAUUCAUCUCCGGGGGUAGAGCACUGUUUCGGCUAGGGGGCCAUCCCGGCUUACCAACCCGAUGCAAACUGCGAAUACCGGAGAAUGUUAUCACGGGAGACACACGGCGGGUGCUAACGUCCGUCGUGAAGAGGGAAACAACCCAGACCGCCAGCUAAGGUCCCAAAGUCAUGGUUAAGUGGGAAACGAUGUGGGAAGGCCCAGACAGCCAGGAUGUUGGCUUAGAAGCAGCCAUCAUUUAAAGAAAGCGUAAUAGCUCACUGGUCGAGUCGGCCUGCGCGGAAGAUGUAACGGGGCUAAACCAUGCACCGAAGCUGCGGCAGCGAACGUAUCACUUAAAGCGAUUCAGCGGGUUACGAUUGACGGAGCGAAGCGACGUCAAAGCGUAUACAAAGUCGAGUCGGUUUAAGGAUACGUUCGUUGGGUAGGGGAGCGUUCUGUAAGCCCGUGAAGGUGGCCUGUGAGGGUUGCUGGAGGUAUCAGAAGUGCGAAUGCUGACAUAAGUAACGAUAAAGCGGGUGAAAAGCCCGCUCGCCGGAAGACCAAGGGUUCCUGUCCAACGUUAAUCGGGGCAGGGUGAGUCGACCCCUAAGGCGAGGCCGAAAGGCGUAGUCGAUGGGAAACGGGUUAAUAUUCCCGUACUUGGUGUUACUGCGAAGGGGGGACGGAGAAGGCUAUGUUGGCCGGGCGACGGUUGUCCCGGUUUAAGCGUGUAGGUGUGUGUUCCAGGUAAAUCCGGUUCACUUUAACACUGAGGCGUGACGACGAGGCACUACGGUGCUGAAGCAACAAAUGCCCUGCUUCCAGGAAAAGCCUCUAAGCAUCAGGUAACACGAAAUCGUACCCCAAACCGACACAGGUGGUCAGGUAGAGAAUACCAAGGCGCUUGAGAGAACUCGGGUGAAGGAACUAGGCAAAAUGGUGCCGUAACUUCGGGAGAAGGCACGCUGACACGUAGGUGAAGUGAUUUACUCAUGGAGCUGAAGUCAGUCGAAGAUACCAGCUGGCUGCAACUGUUUAUUAAAAACACAGCACUGUGCAAACACGAAAGUGGACGUAUACGGUGUGACGCCUGCCCGGUGCCGGAAGGUUAAUUGAUGGGGUCAGCGCAAGCGAAGCUCCUGAUCGAAGCCCCGGUAAACGGCGGCCGUAACUAUAACGGUCCUAAGGUAGCGAAAUUCCUUGUCGGGUAAGUUCCGACCUGCACGAAUGGCGUAAUGAUGGCCAGGCUGUCUCCACCCGAGACUCAGUGAAAUUGAACUCGCUGUGAAGAUGCAGUGUACCCGCGGCAAGACGGAAAGACCCCGUGAACCUUUACUAUAGCUUGACACUGAACAUUGAGCCUUGAUGUGUAGGAUAGGUGGGAGGCUUUGAAGUGUGGACGCCAGUCUGCAUGGAGCCGACCUUGAAAUACCACCCUUUAAUGUUUGAUGUUCUAACGUGGACCCGUAAUCCGGGUUGCGGACAGUGUCUGGUGGGUAGUUUGACUGGGGCGGUCUCCUCCUAAAGAGUAACGGAGGAGCACGAAGGUUGGCUAAUCCUGGUCGGACAUCAGGAGGUUAGUGCAAUGGCAUAAGCCAGCUUGACUGCGAGCGUGACGGCGCGAGCAGGUGCGAAAGCAGGUCAUAGUGAUCCGGUGGUUCUGAAUGGAAGGGCCAUCGCUCAACGGAUAAAAGGUACUCCGGGGAUAACAGGCUGAUACCGCCCAAGAGUUCAUAUCGACGGCGGUGUUUGGCACCUCGAUGUCGGCUCAUCACAUCCUGGGGCUGAAGUAGGUCCCAAGGGUAUGGCUGUUCGCCAUUUAAAGUGGUACGCGAGCUGGGUUUAGAACGUCGUGAGACAGUUCGGUCCCUAUCUGCCGUGGGCGCUGGAGAACUGAGGGGGGCUGCUCCUAGUACGAGAGGACCGGAGUGGACGCAUCACUGGUGUUCGGGUUGUCAUGCCAAUGGCACUGCCCGGUAGCUAAAUGCGGAAGAGAUAAGUGCUGAAAGCAUCUAAGCACGAAACUUGCCCCGAGAUGAGUUCUCCCUGAGACUUAGAGUCUCCUGA